AAAUGGCCGCAGUAUUUUAACUGUGCAAAGGUAGCAUAAUCAUUAGUCUUUUAAUUGAAGGCUUGUAUGAAUGGUUGGACGAAAUAUUAACUGUUUCAUAAUAAUUGAUUUAGAAUUUUAUUUUUUAGUCAAAAAGCUAAAAUAUUUUUAAAAGACGAGAAGACCCUAUAGAUCUUUAUAUUUUAUGUAUUAUGAUUAUGUAGAUUUUUUAAAUUAUGAUUAUAUAAAAUAUUUUGUUGGGGUGACAUUAAGAUUUAAUUAACUUUUAAUUAGUUUUUACAUUAAUUUAUGAAUAAUUGAUCCAUUAAUAAUGAUUAAAAAUUUAAGUUACCUUAGGGAUAACAGCGUAAUUUUUUUGAAGAGUUCAUAUCGAUAAAAAAGAUUGCGACCUCGAUGUUGGAUUAAGAUAUAAUUUUGGGUGCAGCAAUUCAAUUAUUAAGUC
rnacentral:rRNA from 1 species